ensembl:snRNA U1 U1 spliceosomal RNA
UCACCAAACUGGCAGGGGCAAGACCAUGAUCAAGAAGGUGGUUUUCCCAGGGUGAGGUUUAUCCACUGCACUCCAUGUGUGCUGACCCCUGCAAUUUCCCCAACUGUGGGACACUCAGCUGCAUAAUUUAUGGUAGUAGGGGACUGUGUUUGCACUUUCCCCUU